GAGAGGACGUUCAAAACUGUUGGACUAGAGGGCGGAAGAGGGAGGUGGAAUUCCCGGUGUAGUGGUGAAAUGCGUAGAUAUCGGGAGGAACACCAGUGGCGAAGGCGGCCUCCUGGGCCGCACCUGACGCUCAGACGCGAAAGCUAGGGUAGCAAACGGGAUUAGAAACCCCGGUAGUCCUAGCCGUAAACGAUGUAGACUUGGUGUUGGUGGGGUAAAAGCCAUCAGUGCCGGAGCAAACGCGAUAAGUCUACCGCCUGGGGACUACGACCGCAAGGUUAAAACUCAAAGGAAUUGACGGGGACCCGCACAAGCAGCGGAGCGUGUGGUUUAAUUCGAUGCAACGCGAAGAACCUUACCCGGGCUUGACAUGCGAGUGGUAGGGAAGUGAAAGCGGACCGACCCUUCGGGGAGUUCGCACAGGUGCUGCAUGGCUGUCGUCAGCUCGUGCCGUGAGGUGUCCGGUUAAGUCCGGUAACGAGCGCAACCCUUGCUGUAUGUUACAAGUGUCAUACGGGACUGCCGGUAUAAAGCCGGAGGAAGGUGGGGAUGACGUCAAGUCAGCAUGGCCUUUAUGUCCGGGGCUACACACACGCUACAAUGGUCAGUACAAUAGGUUGCAAAACUGCGAAGUGGAGCCAAUCCAUAAAGCUGGCCACAGUUCAGAUUGCAGGCUGCAACUCGCCUGCAUGAAGUCGGAGUUGCUAGUAACCGCGCGUCAGCAACAGUGCGGUGAAUACGUUCCCGGGUCUUGUACACACCGCCCGUCACGUCAUGGAAGCUGGCAACACCUGAAGCCGGUAUCCUAACCGCAAGGAGGGAGCCGUCAAAGGUGGGGCUGGUGACUGGGACGAAGUCGUAACAAGGUAGCC
rnacentral:rRNA from 1 species